GAGGGGAAGUCUGGUGCCAGCAGCCGCGGUAAUUCCAGCUCCAAUAGCGUAUAUUAACGUUGUUGCAGUUAAAAAGCUCGUAGUUGAAGUGAGGGAGUGUGUGUUGUGAUCGAAUCGAUCGAGAGCAGUACAACCUCCCCCUUCCAAUGGGUGUAUUGGGGUAUUCAUUUACUUCAUUACUCCUUUGGUCGUUUACUGUGAGAAAAUUAGAGUGUUCAAAGCGGGCGUUUGUUUGAAUAGAUUAGCAUGGAAUAAUGAUUGAAGGCUUUCGUGUUCGAUUUGAUUGGUUUGUUCAUGGAAGCAAGGUUAAAAGGAACAGUUGGGGGUAUUCAUAUUCACUAGUUAGAGGUGAAAUUCUCGGAUUUAUGGAAGAUGAACAAGGCGAAAGCAA
rnacentral:rRNA from 1 species